UUUCGUCCGUCCUUUGAUUUGUAAAAAGAAAUAAACCAGCACGGGCUCUCCUCCUCGAUGCCUACAGGCACGGCGCCGCCGCGCGGCCGAUCUUCUUCCCCGGCCCUUUGCAAUUCUGUCUCCUUCCCCUCUCCAUCUGCCCAAAUCUUCUCCUGCGCCACCCUGAGCCUUCUCGGUCUCCAACCAGCUCCUGCAAUCUUCAAGCCCUCCGGCACCCAAUCCGCCUACAAUCUUCAAGCCCGCCGGCCCCAAAAGUAACCAGCGGUCGAUUCGAGUGAUCCCGCUAGGAAUCCAUGGGAUUUGAGGUAGAUUUCCUAGGAGAGCGAGUAGGAAGGGUGAUGGUGGGGUUCAUGGGGAAGAUGAAAAAGCAGAAGGUGAUCCACGGCCCGCACGCGAUGCCGAGCCACCGCGGGCCUCCUCCCCUGCCGCUCGCCGCCAUGCCAGGACGGCGUACUGGGCCUUGCCGGACGCCGAGGACAAGCGAGACAAUGGCCAUCCACCCUGGGCCAAGGUGUGUGUGCCUGAAAAUCUUUUCUCACUGUACAAUUUCUCCGUCUCGAUUCUUCCAUACGGUGUGGGCUGCCUUGGCAUAGACGGUGACUGGCUCGAGUGUGGAGGACAAGCACAGAGCGACCAACGGCGAUAACUAUGCUCGGGCAGAUGGAUUCCGCCGCGGUGGAGUUCGAGAUACGAACAGGAGAACAGUAGCUGUGAUGACUCAACAAGAUGGAAGUGCGGGACAAGGGAUGAGUGCAAUCGGCUCAAGUAAACUCCUCAUGUACACCGUCUGGCAUCAGUUCCAGUUGCGCCCGAAGCUUUCAAUCUUGCUGCUCCACUUAGUUUGCCGAAACACUGUCGGCGUGUGCUCCAUCCAAGGUACGCCAUCGUCCAAUUCUAUCACCAGUUUUGAACUUUAAACUAAUGACUAAGGGGUCGGAGUGGCCAGGCCUGAAAGUUCAAGGAAGAUUCAGCUUAGAUCUGAAUUCCUUUGUAUUGCCUACAAUGUUAUAGCUUAAAUUCUGCUAAUAAAUUUCUAUAAAUGAUAUUCGAAACAAUUUCUUAGAGAUGGGUUGUGCACAAGGAUGCACAUUGUAGAUCUGUUAACUUAAGUUUUGAAUAAUGAGAUAUGUUCAUAUGCUUUGCUCACUAUUAUUCCUAAUUUUCUCUGGACAGAAAGACUGAAGUUUAUUGCUUUUGUUCAGCCGAAUGCUACUUGAUCAGUACUUAACCAAGAUUGGCAGCCAUUAUAGCUGGUGUAGAACUCAGAUAUACACAUUGAAUGUUCCGAUAUGCCAAAAUAAACACAUUAGAAUCUUUUUAAUUAUAUUCCUACUAUUUUUUCGAGAUUGCUCUGCGGUUGCUAAUUUUGAUGUUCUGCUAUACUACUAUUGCAUAUAGAGAGAGAUGAGAGAGGAGAGCAGCAGCCCGCUGCUGCAUUUUGUUCAUUCUGCUGCUUGGUUACUACACAUCUAUAGAGAACACAGAGAAGGCUGCUGCUUGCUGAUUACAAUUGCUUCAUGAUAUGUACAUAUCCUCAUGUAUGCUGCUGCUAGGUACCCUUGAUCAUGGUGACAAGGAAUCGAUGCUGCAGCGGUAGGGAUCUCGUGGCCAUGGAGUGGCAGCCGCUAUGUACAUACAUAACUCCAGCGAGUCAUGGUGAGGAGACUUUGAUCUUUACAUGUUAGAUUCAGAGUGGAUAUACGUUACUACAUGUAGGCCCCAUAUGCCAUACGAGUUCCUCCAUUUUUUUAUGUUAGCUGAUGAGCUUUCUUCUCCACUCUACACAGAUUGGUCCUGCAUGAUGCAUCCAUGGCUUAGGAUAAGAAAUGACUGUUUCCAUCUAAAUGUUAUUCAUUUAUUAUUAUUUUUUUCUAAAUCAAUUGAGGAGAACAUAUAAAGAAAAAACAAGUUACUCAUCUGAUUCAUUUGCAAAAUUCAGUACUCCCUCCGUUCGAAAAUACUUGUCAUUGAAAUGAAUGUAUCUAGAUGUAUUUUAGUUCUAGAUACAUCCAUUUUCAUUCAUUUUGAUGACAAGUAUUUCCGGACGGAGGGAAUUCUUUCUUAUACUGCUCUGUUUUAGGAGAUGGAAUAAAGAGAAAAAGAAAUUUCUUAAACAUACAAAUUCAGAUUCUCAAAAGAAAAGUAAUAGUAACAAAGCAUUUUUUAUUUUCUAUAAUAGUUUUUAUUACGAUUCACAUAUUUUAUCUUCGUAGAUUCUAGAAGUUCUUAAGCUUACUAUGAAAAAACGGAAGUUUCUUUUAUAAGGUUCAGUAGCUGCUUCAUGUUGUACUGAUUAGUUUCCAUUAAUUUGAAAAAAAUUAGCUCACGUUGCUCUCUUUAGCUGCCAUUUGCACUUGAAGGUCAGGAUCGAGGCAGGAGGUGAGGAAGUGGGGAUCAGGCUGUAAGCUAGGGUUAAGAAGGCAGUUUUUAUUUUCUAUAAUAUGUUUUUAUUACGAUUCACAUAUUUUUAUCUUUGUAAAUUCUACAAGUUCUUAAGCUCACUAUGAAAAAACAGAAGUUUCUUUUAUAAGGUUCAGUAGCUACUUCAUGUUGUACUGAUUAGUUUCUAAUAAUUUGAAAAAAAAUUAGCUCACGUUGCUCUCUUUAGCUGCCAUUUGCAAUUGAAGGUCAGGAUCGAGGCAGGAGGUGAGGAAGUGGGGAUCGGGCUGUGAGCUAGGGUUAACAAGGCAGUUUUUAUUUUCUAUAAUAUGUUUUUAUUACGAUUCAAAUAAUUUAUCUUUAUAGAUUCUACAAGUUCUUAAGCUCACUAUGAAAAAACAUAAGUUUCUUUUAUAAGGUUCAGUAGCCGCUUCAUGUUGUACUGAUUAGUUUCUAUUAAUUUGAAGAAAAUUAGCUCACGUUGCUCUCUUUAGCUGCCAUUUGCACUUGAAGGUCAAGAUCGAGGCAGGAGGUGAGGAAGUGGGGUUGGGCUGUGAGCUAGGGUUAUGGGGCUGGCUGGGCCUUAGGUGGGACAGCCUGGCCAGUUGGCCCAGCUGGCUGGCUGGCUGCUGCUCAAAACAAGUUCGUUGUAUAUAGCUUUUCCCUUGCCGAUAGCUCGAUCUGAUUUUUUCAUGUCUAUGCUAUAGAAGAGCUUGUAGUAUUCAAAUGUAGUUUCUCACACAAUAGUACUGGGCGCACUCAUUGUUAAAGUCAGUUGUAGUGUAAGAAAAUCAAAGAAAACAUGUGUGAAUAAUGAAUGAGAUGACAUACCUUUUAGAUGUUCUUCAAUAAUUUUUGUUCUA